GAGAAAUGAGAGGAAGGAACGGAUAGACGGACGGAUGGAGUGAGUGAGAAUGAGCGAGAGAUAGAGAUGGAUGUCUGCAGAGAUAAAAGGGCGAGAUACACAGACACGUUGAGCUUACUCGUGCGCGUGCUGGUGCAGGGUAGAGAAGCUCCACCAGCAUGCCGCCUGCUACACCACCUCCACGACUAACUGCCGCAUUUGUGGCCACAAGUCCCGAUCACGGCAGAUGCCAGUGUUGAUUUCAAUAACUUAUCUUUGUUCUGACCUCAAAUCAAAGCGACAACAAAAUGUUACAUCACCAGAAGUUGGGAUAAUUUGGGAUUUGGCACAGCAGCGACUGCACCUCGCCACUUUAAGAGGCACUCCAACAGGCAAGGGAGGUCACCUUCACCUGGUCCUGAUGUUGGGGCAGCUGUGGGCUGAAAAAUGAGAUCAGCUGCCUGCUCACCGGGACGCACGUGGCAGUCUGGAACUACCCAGGGCCUAGUGUACCAGCUAGCAUACGGUGGCCCCGGUACAAUCAAGGCAGAGGGAACAGCCCCCGCUCUCCCAGCCUGUCUGCCUGCCUGCCAUCCUGGGGCAUGUUGGGUCACCUUGACGACUGGGCCCAGCGAGAGGAGCCUCACCCCACUUCGGGGCGAAGACUGAGGCAGUAUGGAAGGGACGACAGCUUGGUGGAGAAAGCUCUCAGGAGUUCUCAGUCCAGGAAGGAGAAGAUUCAUGGGCAUCAUGAUGGAGGUCGGCAAGUCAUGUUGUGAGCGUUCAUGCACAGAUAGCUUCAAUAAAAAGAAAGUAAAUCUGAUGUAUGGUUUUUCUGAAGGAUGCAAAAAAGACUUGCCAUACUACAUAAAAAAAUACUUGUAAGGGUUACAGGGAUUGCUGGUGGAUCCAGGACCAAAACCAAAUGGACAUCGUGGACUGGCCCAUCUCCUGCAAGCUUUGCUACAGAUACUGGCAGGUCUAGCCCGAAAUGAUUAUCAGAGCCAAAUCCCACUGGCCAGCUUUCCAGUAACACUCCUACAUGGAGAUGGAACCAGAGCCGGGGCUCGGGCUGAGGCUGGGGCGGGAGCUGGCGCUGAUCCGCCAGGGGACGGACGCCAACAGGCCCAAGAAAUUAAUACCAGCGCUGAGGCCUCGCUGAGGUCCUCCAUCCAGCUCCAGCUGGAGCAGGGGAGACGAAACGGAUGAGUGGAAAUUAUGUCACGAGACAAGGUAGCAUAAGGGUCUCUGUGCCGUGGCUAGCGACACCCUACCUGGAACCAACAGCGGGAAAUCAUUGAAAGAGACCGAAAGAUGGAAGCAUGACUUUGAUUCGCUUGGAGUUUGAUUUCAGCAAAUUUAAAUAUGUAUGUGAAAAUCAAAUCAGUCCAUUUCAUGUAAUUAUGAAUCAAUCUGUUCUCCAGUUAAUCAGACUUAAUUCAAGCUAAGAAAAAAGUUAUCUGAAAUAGGAUCACGGAUCACUGAGCCAUACAACAGAAAGGGCGGAGAAAAGUAUGACAAUGAUGCAGAAUUUAAGAUGAACCACAGUUUCCAAACCAAACCACAGCUUCCUGACAUUUCUUGCACUCGUCAUGUUGAGCUAAAGUAACCGAGCAUUUGAUUCUGUUUGACACAACAUACUCACCCCCAAUGGGCAAUAACAGUAUUAUAUGAAAUGUUGGGGCAAAAAACUUGAUGAGAACAUUACUUGAUAAGAUACAGAUGUAUCGUUGGCAUUAAAACGUACACUGAAUGUCUUUCUGCAAUACCUCUUCCAGCUGGAGGACAAGAGCUGUUGUGCUCAUACUGUAAAACCAAUAAAAUGG